rnacentral:rRNA from 1 species
GACGAACCGAGCGAACGUUGUUCGGAAUCACUGGGCUUAAAGGGCGCGUAGGCGGGCCGCCGCGUCCGGGGUGAAAUCCCACGGCUCAACCGUGGAACGGCCUCGGAUACGGGCGGCCUCGAGGGGGGUAGGGGCAUGCGGAACUGUGAGUGGAGCGGUGAAAUGCGUUGAUAUUCACAGGAACUCCGGUGGCGAAGGCGGCGUGCUGGACCCCUUCUGACGCUGAGGCGCGAAAGCCAGGGGAGCAAACAGG